UUCAAUAAGUAGUAAAUGGUAGAAAGCUCCAGAAGUAGCCCAGACCACAGUUUAAAAGCCGGGGCUGUACAGCUAAGUAAACAUCGACGCACGAUUCGCUCACACGGAAUAAGAACUCCACGAAGGACACUUGGGGACUACACUGUGUGACGCUCACACUGCAGGACUGGAAUGCUCGCUGAUUAAAGACAUUUUGGGGAAUGAUAUUAUGACUGCACGAUUUCAUUCUAAUUCGGAGCAUUGCUGUAGAGUUUCGACAGCUAUUAUUGGCUCUCCUUUGAAGCAUUAAAGCAUUUUGUUUUUCUGUGCUGGAUGGGAAUUUGCUUCCUCACUCCCAGUCUAAAGGGGGUCUGGAUGUACUGAUACCUUGAGAAGUCCGCAUUAUCUACUCCCUGCAGUUCACCAGCUUUUCCUUGAAAUGCAGCUGCCAGUAAAAAUGAGAAUUGGCAAAAGCCAAUGGGGUACGUGAUUAGUCUGUGGGUUUGUUGUCUUAUCUGUUGUAUCCAAAACAUGUUAAAGAAACAACUACAGCUCAGACUUUAUUGUUUCAGCAGCAUGGAAGGAUUGAGAGUAUCACAUUGCUUUUGAAUUUUUGUUUAAAAAAUUAUCAGUUUAGACAGGUCAUGAGAUUUGGGAGCAAAACGCCAGCUAAGGAACCGAUGACACAGGCUGUAACUUAUCAUUUCUAGACCUCACUUUUAUAUUCUGUGAGAUGGGAAUAAUACUAAUCUGUCUUUUUUUUUUUUUUAAUACAGUCUUUGAGCCUUUCUAAAAAUGUAACAAAGGUAGAAAUGCAUUGGAAAGCUUCAAGAAAAAAUUGGCGAAGGAUUUUAUUACCAUUAAUAAUUUAUCUGGUGUAAUAGUCCACUGAUUUCUCAGUUGUAUCAAAUUACAUGGAAUAUUUUAAAUAUUCUGCUCAUUUCAAGAGAAAUAAAUAAAGAAAGAAAAAAAGAAUGAAUUUUAGAGCUUUGAAGACACUGACUUUGUAUCCAAGGCCCAGGGAAGAACAUGAGGGUGCUAACAA